AUUUUUAUGCAGUAUUUUGUAUUACUAAACCUUUUGACUCGUUAAAAAGAGUAUCUUUACAUUGCAUCAAAUAAUCAAUUAGGCUAUUUUAACCUUUAAAAGGCAUAAGAUGCACAUGGCAUCUUUAAUAUCUCUUGCUUCUACAAGGAGCUAGGACGAGCUGAAAAAAAAAGUAUGGAUUGAUUAUUUCUUUCCUUUUCUGGG
rnacentral:misc_RNA from 1 species